ACCUGGUGAACUCAUUUCCUUAAGGGCUA
rnacentral:piRNA from 1 species